rnacentral:rRNA from 1 species
AUUGAACGCUGGCGGCAGGCCUAACACAUGCAAGUCGAGCGGAUGAAGGGAGCUUGCUCCUGGAUUCAGCGGCGGACGGGUGAGUAAUGCCUAGGAAUCUGCCUGGUAGUGGGGGAUAACGUCCGGAAACGGGCGCUAAUACCGCAUACGUCCUGAGGGAGAAAGUGGGGGAUCUUCGGACCUCACGCCAUCAGAUGAGCCUAGGUCGGAUUAGCUAGUUGGUGGGGUAAAGGCCUACCAAGGCGACGAUCCGUAACUGGUCUGAGAGGAUGAUCAGUCACACUGGAACUGAGACACGGUCCAGACUCCCACGGGAGGCAGCAGUGGGGAAUAUUGGACAAUGGGCGAAAGCCUGAUCCAGCCAUGCCGCGUGUGUGAAGAAGGUCUUCGGAUUGUAAAGCACUUUAAGUUGGGAGGAAGGGCAGUAAGUUAAUACCUUGCUGUUUUGACGUUACCAACAGAAUAAGCACCGGCUAACUUCGUG